GAAUCUCGAAAGCCUAUCUCAGUUCGGAUUGGAGGCUGAAACCCGCCUCCAUGAAGUUGGAUUCGCUAGUAAUCGCGCAUCAGCCAUGGCGCGGUGAAUACGUUCCCGGGCCUUGUACACACCGCCCGUCAAGCCAUGGGAGCCGGGGGUGCCUGAAGUUCGUUACCGCAAGGAUCGACCUAGGGCAAAACUGGUGACUGGGGCUAAGUCGUAACAAGGUAUC
rnacentral:rRNA from 1 species